rnacentral:lncRNA from 1 species
GUACACGGAGCGCCUUCUUUUCGUUUAGAGCAUUGGUGUCUCCACAUUAGAAGCAUCCUAUGUAGCUGUUCUGCUUGCAGCUGCCCAAGUCUGCCUGGGCCUCCUGCAUGAGGUCAUGAGUCUUAAUAAAGCCACUGACCCACACAUUUGGAAUCGUACUGACUUUUCACAACUAACAGCCAACACAUUGCCAAGAAGCAAUUCAAUUGUUGAGGAUAUCACAUCAUGCCAGGGAAAGAGAGAUGGAAUUCAGAAAGCCUGGGAUAUUGCAGGGCAUUAGUUCUCGGCGAGAUAUAUGGGGUUGGAGAGGACAGGAGCCAGAAGCUCCCAGUGCAGCAGCAAGGCUGGCCCACGUGAGCACCUGGAGCAUCAUUUCUGCUGCCACAUGCUUGGGCUGCCCCACCCCGCCGUGCCCUGCUCAGCCGUGCCCUGCUCCAUCUCCCUCGCCAGGCCUGAGACCGGCCCCCAGUGUGUUGUGACUCCUGAGGUCUCUCAGCUCUCCCUCAACCCCCAGGAGAAUUGCUCUCCACUCCAGAAGCCGCCUGAUGGGGAGGCUGACCCCUCUCCAGGACUGACUGAUCCAGCGGUCUUGAAUAAAGUCUUCCUCACUGUUUUAACAAGAGACAAGGUAAUGUUCAUUGAACAUCUUAUACAAAGAGGAAACCUGGCACAGAAGUGGACAUGCACUCGGAGGGAAAAUGCCAAGUGACAAUGAAGGCAGAGAUCAGGUGAUGCAUCUGCAAGCUGAGCAACAUCAGGAAUUGCCAAAAACCACCAGGAGCUGGAGAGGCCUGGGACAGAGCCUCCCACGGAGCCUCAAGGGAGCCAGCCCUGCCCACGCCUUGAUCUUUGACGUCCGACCUCAAGAACUAUGAAAGAACCCAUUUCUGUUGGUGAAGGCUCCCCGUCUGUGGUCCCCUGUCCUGGCAGCCCUAGGAACCUGACCUCUGGUCCCUCUGCAUCCCUGGCAUCACUCUGCCUCCCUCUCUUUUUCUCCAGUGAAUCCAACACACUCUCAGUGAGACAGCCAGGUGGCAAGGGGUUCUCGGAGAAACUCCAGCCGGCCUGCUCGCUGGGCAUGUACACUGGAGUGGAGCCACAGAAGUUCACGGUGUUUGCAGCAGGGAGGAGCCUGGCCACUCCUCUUCCUGGUUGGAACCUGGAAUUUAUUUUGUGAGGCGGGAAGCCUAUACUGGGGAGACUCUUGCUCUGCUGAGUCCCCAUUCCCCCUUUAUUUUCCUUUUUGCCCAAUAAAUCCUAUUAUUCUCAGUCUUCAAA